UAGCUGAGUGCUUAGCAUUACUGCCUUUUGAGCAGAAGGUUGCAGGUUCAAACCCUGC
rnacentral:tRNA from 1 species